AAAAAUUAAAUGGAUGAAAUAUGAAGUUUUAUUAAAAGAAAAAGGGGUGAAAAGAACAAAGUUUUGUCCAUCUUUGUUCAUCAUAGCUGAAAGUUAGAGAAGAGAAAGGAGAGGAGAAAGCUCUUGAGUAUUCGAUCAUUAGGAGGAAGAAAACUGAAGGCGGUUCGUGUGUGGAUCUCAUCAGCAUAUCGUCGCAAACAGGAAAUCCCCAACCAUAGUGGGCUUGGAGUUGUGAGGGAAUUCGGAGUGGCCACCCGUUCUGAAAGUUUGAUUUUCUUCUGGUGAACUGGACAUCCUUUUAAUUACGUUUGAGGUUUUGGGCUUUUAAAUGUAAUAAGGCCGCUUAUUUAUUUUUGAUGGUUUUUAAUAUGUAUUACUAAGAUAGGUAAUACUUGUUUUAACUGUUGAAAUUGGAUAGCUUUAGGGCACGUUUUCAAAAAGAACAAUUGAUUUCAAAAUAACACGACAACAAGCAAAGCUUCCGCAAUGAAA